AAGAGACAGCAGCAGCCGCGGUAAUACAGAGGGUGCGAGCGUUAAUCGGAUUUACUGGGCGUAAAGCGUGCGUAGGCGGCUUUUUAAGUCGGAUGUGAAAUCCCUGAGCUUAACUUAGGAAUUGCAUUCGAUACUGGGAAGCUAGAGUAUGGGAGAGGAUGGUAGAAUUCCAGGUGUAGCGGUGAAAUGCGUAGAGAUCUGGAGGAAUACCGAUGGCGAAGGCAGCCAUCUGGCCUAAUACUGACGCUGAGGUACGAAAGCAUGGGGAGCAAACAGGAUUAGAUACCCGAGUAGUCCCUGUCUCUUAUAA
rnacentral:rRNA from 1 species